rnacentral:misc_RNA from 1 species
CUAACGUCAUGCUACAGGAGGAAAGUGUAUAGUGCACCGAUUCCAGUACCCUGGUAGGGG